ACGUAGGGUGCGAGCGUUAAUCGGAAUUACUGGGCGUGAAGCGUGCGCAGGCGGUUCGUUGUGUCGGCGGUGAAAGCCCCGGGCUCAACCUGGGAAUGGCCGUUGAAACUGGCGAACUGGAGUGUGGCAGAGGGGGGUGGAAUUCCGCGUGUAGCAGUGAAAUGCGUAGAUAUCAGGAGGAACACCGGCGGCGAAGGCGGCUACCUGAACAGAAACUGACGCUGAGGCGCGAAAGCUAGGGGAGCAAACAGGA
rnacentral:rRNA from 1 species